UAUCUCCAUGGCCAUUUACCCAGCAAACAUCACGUGUCAGCACGCCGUGAAAAGCAUGCCAUAUGAACAAUAUGUUGGUACAUAGCAUUGAGACCUUGUUUAUGCAAGCAAUAACCGUUAACUUAUUAUUAUACACAUUCGGCAAUUUUGUAAACAAAAACAUUGAAAUCGUAUAGUUUAUUGGUUUUAAUAUAAGAUAACGGUUAUUGCCCGCACAAACAAGGCUAUACUGUGUUGUGAAAAAGGUGCAUUUUGCAAUUUGUGCUCGGCAAAUUGGAUAUAUAAUUAUAUUGGAUAUGUAAAUUGGUGUGCAUCAGUUUUACAGUUGAAGAAAAGACAAGGCUACACUAUAUUGUACGAAGGAAGGUCUACGUGCAUUUCUGCAAUUCUGUGCCCAGCAAAGUGGAUAAAUAGUCUAUUGGAUAUAUAAGUUGGUGUGCAUCAGUUUUACAGUUGAACAAAAGACGAGGCUACACUAUAUUGCACGAAGGAAGGUCUACGUGCAUUUCUGCAAUUCUGUGGUCAAUUUGAAUAUAAGAAUAUAAUAUAAUUAAACAUAAUAUAAGGAUAUAUAAAUACAAUAUGU